UACGAAGGGGGCUAGCGUUGUUCGGAAUUACUGGGCGUAAAGCGCACGUAGGCGGAUUUGUAAGUCAGGGGUGAAAUCCCGGGGCUCAACCUCGGAACUGCCUUUGAUACUGCAAGUCUCGAGUCCGAUAGAGGUGAGUGGAAUUCCUAGUGUAGAGGUGAAAUUCGUAGAUAUUAGGAAGAACACCAGUGGCGAAGGCGGGUCUCUGGGCAGUAACUGACGCUGAGGAGCGAAAGCGUGGGGAGCGAACAGG
rnacentral:rRNA from 1 species